CCCUUACCCCCAUCUGUCUUGAUUCGCUGUUGCCCUGUCCCUGGCUUCCUGGUGGUCACUGAGCUCUGCGGGCCCCCCUUCCCCCAGCCCGUCUCCUCCUGCCAUUGAGAGGGGCUGUUCUCUUUCCCAAGCGGCAAGCCCCUGAUUCUUUUAGCACAGCCAAUGGGCUCCACUGGGGCUUUCAAGCUUGCUGGCAAUUUUGGAUGUCAGCAGCUGGGAAAAUCAAGCUUAAUAUUUCAUGACAUUACAAAGUCAGUUUGUUCUAUUUUCAUCCCAGAUAGAGUGAAAAAGCAGUGUUCUCAUCAGGAGACUCUCCCAAAAAAGUGGGAGGCAGUUGGUCUGGGAGCCACAGCAGGUUGGCGGGGAGUACUGGGCAGGCGGUCAGCAUUUGGAUGCUCUGGUUUUGGCUUGACAGCCAACUAGCAGUUGACCUUCGGCGAGUGAUUCUCUCUCUGAGCUUUGACUUCCUCCUGCACAAAUAAACGAUCUCUCAGACCUUGUCAAGAAUAACUUUAGACUUUGCUGGGAAUGCAAUAUCUUCUGACAAGGAGGAGUUGGCUGGAACAGCCUGGGCUCUGUACCUGUCCCUCAGAUGUCCUUUGGUGCUUUAGCCCAGUGACUCAUCGAUCUCCCAGGUAUAAAACCCAGGGUGGGCUUCUUUCUGGGGUCCUUCGGCUGCAGUACAAGUGGGGCAUGCACAGAUGAGACUCCAUCUACCCUGGGAAGCUCUCCUGAGCCUUGGGGGACUGGCUUGUCAUGAAUCCUUGGCUUUAGUUGUCCCUUGUUGUGUAUUUCUAAUGAAUAAACCUGUUGCAUAUAACUUGUGUGUAUGAGUGUUCUGUCUCAUCUGACUCAGGACAGUAGUAAAAAUGCAAUGUAAGAUGCAGUGAGCUCAAGUGGUACCAGUGUACUGUGAAUGCACUUUGUGCUGCCAUGCUGGGGUUCAGAGCAGGCAUCCAUGUCUAGAGCUACAUAUGGAGACCAAACAGAAAAUAGAGGUAAAAGCCCUGUUGUAGGGACAGGGCCAACAUGGCGGGAAUUAGUGAAGUAGGAUUUGGUGAACAUAGGAGAGUAAUGAAAUCCCUGGAACAGAAAAAAUCUAAAGUCCACAGAAGAAAUCCCAUUGAAUUCCCUAAAGAAACCUGACAUGUUAUGUUUUGACCCAGCCAGUCUCAUUUGUUUCAUGCAAUUAUCACCAGAUUGAAGUUUGCUGGGAGAUUCCAACUGACCUGGAAGUUGCUGGAUUGAUGGGAAGAGAUCCUUCUAAUCUUAGAAGAAUUCUUGGAAUGGCUCAGAAAUAGAAACUCAAGAAGCAGAGGGAUUUAAUUACACAGGAGCUGGGACUUCUAGAUUAUGACAUUUAUAUGGUUUGGGUCUGUGUCCCCACCCAAAUCACAUGUCAAAUUAUAAUCCCCAAUGUUGGCGGUGGAGCCUGGUGGGAGGUGAUUGGAUCAUGUGGGUGGAUUUUCUUUUUGGUGCUGUUCUCAUGAUAGUGAGUGAAUUAUCAUAAGGUCAGGUUGUUUAAAAGUGUUUGGCACCUUCCCACUUUCUCUCUUCCUUCUAUUCUAGCCAUGGUUGAAGACAUGCCUGUUUCCCCUUCGCCAUCUGCCAUGACUGUAAGCUUCCUGAGGCCUUCCCAGUCAUGCUUCCUGUAUAGCCUGUGGAAACAUGCGCCAAUUAAAACCUCUUUUCUUUAUAAAUUACCUAGUCUCAGGUAUUUCUUUAUAGCAAUGCAAGAAUGGACAAAUACAGACAUCUUACGGAAAAAAGUUUAUCAAGUGGAAAGCUCUAUUGUGUACCCUCCUUGAAAAUAGAUGACCUGUUUUCUCAUCUUUCUCUUAGCGUGCUGUGGUCUUCACAUGCAGAAAGAGGAACAAGUUAAGUAGUGGUUGUCUUUGAAUAUUUUCUUAUUGAAUGGUUUCUGGCCUGGCUCAGUCCCCUUAACAUGUCAUCCUAAAGAAAUAACGAAAUAUCUUUUCCUUACAAGGCUUUCUAAAGUAUGACUUAUAAGUCAGAAACCACAAGAGAAAAUAUUAAUAAGUCCAAUAAUGUUAAAAUUGACUUAGCUAAAUGCAUCAUAAACAAGAUAAAAAAAACAUCAAACUGGAAAGAUGUUUGCAGGCUAUGUCACAGAGGAACGGAUGGUUUCUCUAAUAUAUAAAAAGUUCCAACAAACUGAUAAGAAAAGUGGACAAAGAAUACAAAAAGUCCAUAGAAAAGGAAGUAAAACUGCUUCUUAAGCAUAUGAAAAUUUACUUAGUCUCACGAGUAAGAAACAUAAAUUUUAAAAAACAUGGAGAUAGGCUGGGUGCAAUGGCCCACGCCUGUAAUCCCAGCACUUUGGGAGGCUGCUGCAGGUGGAUCAUUUGAGGUCAGUUUGAAAUCAGACUGGCUAACAUGAUGAAACCCUAUCUCUACUAAAAAUACAAAAAUUAACCAGGCAUGGUGGCAGGUGCCUGUAAUCCCAGCUACUAGGGAGGCAGAGGCAGGAGAAUUGCUUGAAUCUGGGAGGCAGAGGUUGAAGUGAGCCAAGAUUGUGCCACUGUACUCCAGCCUGGGCAACAGAGCAAGACUCCCUCUCAAAAAAAAACCACAAAAAAACAAAAACAAAAAAAGCCAGAAAACCCCCGCAAAACAUGGAGAUAAUCUUUUUCGUUUUUUCUGGGUGGCAAAGAUUAAAAAGUUAGAAAAUGCCAAGAUAGCGAGAGGUGUGUAUGAGUGUGAUAUUGGUGGUAGCGUAAAUUGCUAUAACUCUCUUGGGGGGGAAUUUGGCAAUAUCUUACCAAUAUCCUGCCAAUAUCUUUCUUACUCAUAAGUCAAAACUGUGCUUGUUAAAUCCACAAAUGAUAAUGUUUUUCCAUGUAUAUUGAAGUUUCUUAAGUAGUGUUUUAUAGAAUAAGUUUUCCUAAUACAUCAUUGAAGAGGUUUUCAGGAGCAUAGUUUGAAAAAUACUGACAGGUAUAAUGUAGGAAGUAGUUAGAAUAUAUCUGGGAGCUACCAACACCAUUCAGGUCUAGCUAUAGUGAUGUUUGCUGCCCCUCUUAGGAAGGGAAACCUUUCACAAACCUCCACCUUCAUUUUCUCCUCUUGCAAAUGCUUUUUGGUCAGAAGCAUAAAUGCCAGAGCUGCAAAAGUGAUUCAAAACCCAAGAGAACUCCCUGGGGAUAGUCUGUUCUCUCUGUAGCUGGGACAAGGAGAUGGCAGGCCCUUCUCUUCCCAAGAACCUCCCUGAUGUGCAACGAGAGGCCACAGACUUAUCUUGCAGCAUUAAUUAGGAGAGAUGCAACAUUUGGGGACAAUCUGUUCAAGAAACCCUGCACAGGACACGUUUUCAUCCUGGGCUCUGGGGCUGAUAUGUGCCAGUGGCCUAACUCCACACACCUCGAUGGAAUUCUCUGGCAGAACCGCUCCAAAAUGUGUGGAAAAAUCUGUUUUUCUGGAUUCUCCUUCUUUGCUUCAAG
rnacentral:lncRNA from 10 species